CCUACGGGUGGCUGCAGUGGGGAAUAUUGGACAAUGGGGGCAACCCUGAUCCAGCCAUGCCGCGUGUGUGAAGAAGGCCCUCGGGUUGUAAAGCACUUUCAGUGAGGAAGAACGCCUGGUGGUUAAUACCCAUCAGGAAAGACAUCACUCACAGAAGAAGCACCGGCUAACUCCGUGCCAGCAGCCGCGGUAAUACGGAGGGUGCGAGCGUUAAUCGGAAUUACUGGGCGUAAAGCGCGCGUAGGUGGCUUGAUAAGCCGGUUGUGAAAGCCCCGGGCUCAACCUGGGAACGGCAUCCGGAACUGUCAAGCUAGAGUGCAGGAGAGGAAGGUAGAAUUCCCGGUGUAGCGGUGAAAUGCGUAGAGAUCGGGAGGAAUACCAGUGGCGAAGGCGGCCUUCUGGACUGACACUGACACUGAGGUGCGAAAGCGUGGGUAGCAAACAGGAUUAGAUACCCCCAGUAGUC
rnacentral:rRNA from 1 species